rnacentral:piRNA from 1 species
UUAACAGCAAAGCCGUUUUGGCCUACUGGA